CAACGCCCCUAUCUCCGCCCACUCGACCGCCACGUGGCAACCGAGUGAGGGCCUCGGGGUGCGAC
rnacentral:miRNA from 17 species